UACGUAGGGACCAAGCGUUGUCCGGAAUCAUUGGGCGUAAAGAGCGUGUAGGCGGCUUGUUAAGUCUUGCGUGAAAUCUCGGGGCUCAACCCCGAGCGGUCGUGAGAAACUGGCAGGCUAGAGUGCGGGAGAGGAGAGUGGAAUUCCUGGUGUAGCGGUGAAAUGCGCAGAUAUCAGGAAGAACACCCGUGGCGAAGGCAGUUCUCUGGGACGGUACUGACGCUGAGACGCGAAAGCGUGGGGAGCGAACAGG
rnacentral:rRNA from 1 species